rnacentral:rRNA from 1 species
AUGGCGGCAAGGUUUGCUGCCGUGCCGGUAAUGUUCCUGAUGAUCGUGGUGUUCUUCGCCGUGUCCGGCGCGGCUCGCCAGCUCGGCGGCGACGUGUGGGCGCCGGCCGGGCAGGUCUUCUUCGGCGACGGCGUGGCGGCGCAGCUUCUCCGGCAAAUGUACCUGCAGCGGCUGGGGGCGGGGGCCUCGUGCGGCACCCACAGCGCAAACGGUGGCUGCCCACACUGA